rnacentral:rRNA from 1 species
GGGUUGUGAGGUUAAGCGACUAAGCGUACACGGUGGAUGCCCUGGCAGUCAGAGGCGAUGAAGGACGUGCUAAUCUGCGAAAAGCGUCGGUAAGGUGAUAUGAACCGUUAUAGCCGGCGAUGUCCGAAUGGGGAAACCCAGUGCAAUUCGUUGCACUAUCGUUAACUGAAUACAUAGGUUAACGAGGCGAACCGGGGGAACUGAAACAUCUAAGUACCCCGAGGAAAAGAAAUCAACCGAGAUUCCCCCAGUAGCGGCGAGCGAACGGGGAGCAGCCCAGAGUCUGAAUCAGCUUGUGUGUUAGUGGAACGGUCUGGAAAGUCCGACGGUACAGGGUGAUAGUCCCGUACACCAAAAUGCACAGGUUGUGAACUCGAAGAGUAGGGCGGGACACGUGGUAUCCUGUCUGAAUAUGGGGGACCAUCCUCCAAGGCUAAAUACUCCUGACUGACCGAUAGUGAACCAGUACCGUGAGGGAAAGGCGAAAAGAACCCCGGCGAGGGGAGUGAAAAAGAACCUGAAACCGUGUACGUACAAGCAGUGGGAGCACCUUCGGGUGUGACUGCGUACCUUUUGUAUAAUGGGUCAGCGACUUAUAUUCUGUAGCAAGGUUAACCGUAUAGGGGAGCCGCAGGGAAACCGAGUCUUAACUGGGCGUUAAGUUGCAGGGUAUAGACCCGAAACCCGGUGAUCUAGCCAUGGGCAGGUUGAAGGUUGGGUAACACUAACUGGAGGACCGAACCGACUAAUGUUGAAAAAUUAGCGGAUGACUUGUGGCUGGGGGUGAAAGGCCAAUCAAACCGGGAGAUAGCUGGUUCUCCCCGAAAGCUAUUUAGGUAGCGCCUCGUGAAUUCAUCUUCGGGGUAGAGCACUGUUUCGGCUAGGGGGUCAUCCCGACUUACCAACCCGAUGCAAACUACGAAUACCGAAGAAUGUUAUCACGGGAGACACACGGCGGGUGCUAACGUCCGUCGUGAAGAGGGAAACAACCCAGACCGCCAGCUAAGGUCCCAAAGUCAUGGUUAAGUGGGAAACGAUGUGGGAAGGCACAGACAGCCAGGAUGUUGGCUUAGAAGCAGCCAUCAUUUAAAGAAAGCGUAAUAGCUCACUGGUCGAGUCGGCCUGCGCGGAAGAUGUAACGGGGCUAAACCAUGCACCGAAGCUGCGGCAGCGACACUAUGUGUUGUUGGGUAGGGGAGCGUUCUGUAAGCCUGCGAAGGUGUGCUGUGAGGCAUGCUGGAGGUAUCAGAAGUGCGAAUGCUGACAUAAGUAACGAUAAAGCGGGUGAAAAGCCCGCUCGCCGGAAGACCAAGGGUUCCUGUCCAACGUUAAUCGGGGCAGGGUGAGUCGACCCCUAAGGCGAGGCCGAAAGGCGUAGUCGAUGGGAAACAGGUUAAUAUUCCUGUACUUGGUGUUACUGCGAAGGGGGGACGGAGAAGGCUAUGUUAGCCGGGCGACGGUUGUCCCGGUUUAAGCAUGUAGGCUGGUUAUCCAGGCAAAUCCGGAUAAUCAAGGCUGAGGUGUGAUGACGAGGCACUACGGUGCUGAAGUAACAAAUGCCCUGCUUCCAGGAAAAGCCUCUAAGCAUCAGGUAACAUCAAAUCGUACCCCAAACCGACACAGGUGGUCAGGUAGAGAAUACCAAGGCGCUUGAGAGAACUCGGGUGAAGGAACUAGGCAAAAUGGUGCCGUAACUUCGGGAGAAGGCACGCUGGUGUGUAGGUGAAGUCCCUGCGGAUGGAGCUGAGACCAGUCGAAGAUACCAGCUGGCUGCAACUGUUUAUUAAAAACACAGCACUGUGCAAACACGAAAGUGGACGUAUACGGUGUGACGCCUGCCCGGUGCCGGAAGGUUAAUUGAUGGGGUUAUCCGUAAGGAGAAGCUCUUGAUCGAAGCCCCGGUAAACGGCGGCCGUAACUAUAACGGUCCUAAGGUAGCGAAAUUCCUUGUCGGGUAAGUUCCGACCUGCACGAAUGGCGUAAUGAUGGCCAGGCUGUCUCCACCCGAGACUCAGUGAAAUUGAACUCGCUGUGAAGAUGCAGUGUACCCGCGGCAAGACGGAAAGACCCCGUGAACCUUUACUAUAGCUUGACACUGAACAUUGAGCCUUGAUGUGUAGGAUAGGUGGGAGGCUUUGAAGCGUGGACGCCAGUCUGCGUGGAGCCAACCUUGAAAUACCACCCUUUAAUGUUUGAUGUUCUAACGUUGGCCCCUUACCGGGGUUGCGGACAGUGUCUGGUGGGUAGUUUGACUGGGGCGGUCUCCUCCCAAAGCGUAACGGAGGAGCACGAAGGUUAGCUAAUCCUGGUCGGACAUCAGGAGGUUAGUGCAAUGGCAUAAGCUAGCUUGACUGCGAGCGUGACGGCGCGAGCAGGUGCGAAAGCAGGUCAUAGUGAUCCGGUGGUUCUGAAUGGAAGGGCCAUCGCUCAACGGAUAAAAGGUACUCCGGGGAUAACAGGCUGAUACCGCCCAAGAGUUCAUAUCGACGGCGGUGUUUGGCACCUCGAUGUCGGCUCAUCACAUCCUGGGGCUGAAGUAGGUCCCAAGGGUAUGGCUGUUCGCCAUUUAAAGUGGUACGCGAGCUGGGUUUAGAACGUCGUGAGACAGUUCGGUCCCUAUCUGCCGUGGGCGCUGGAGAAUUGAGGGGGGCUGCUCCUAGUACGAGAGGACCGGAGUGGACGCAUCACUGGUGUUCGGGUUGUCAUGCCAAUGGCACUGCCCGGUAGCUAAAUGCGGAAGAGAUAAGUGCUGAAAGCAUCUAAGCACGAAACUUGCCCCGAGAUGAGUUCUCCCUGAGACUUUAAGUCUCCUGAAGGAACGUUGAAGACGACGACGUUGAUAGGCCGGGUGUGUAAGCGCAGCGAUGCGUUGAGCUAACCGGUACUAAUGAACCGUGAGGCUUAACCUUACAACGCCGAAG